CAAGAGCGUAUAUUAAAGUUGUUGCAGUUAAAAAGCUCGUAGUUGGAUUUCUGGUACAACGCGCCUGGCCCGCUUUUGUGAGUGCCGGUGCGCGUUUGCCAUCCUUCUAGAAAACGUUUCUACCCGGGUAACUGGGCCGGACUCGCGAUCUAGAUCUUUACUUGAAAAAUUAGAGUGUUUAAAGCAGGCUUUUGCUGUGAAUACAUUAGCAUGGAAUAAUAAUAUAGGACUUUGGUUCUAUUUUGUUGGUUUCUAGGACUAAAGUAAUGAUUGAUAGGAUAGUUGGGGUGCUAGUAUUCAGCGGCCAGAGGUGAAAUUCUUGGAUUCGCUGAAGACUAACUUAUGCGAAAGCAUUUGCCAAGGAUGUUUUCAUUGAUCAAGAACGAAAGUUAGGGGAUCGAAGAUGAUUAGAUACCAU
rnacentral:rRNA from 1 species